rnacentral:lncRNA from 1 species
UCCUAUAGUUUCGAAAUUACGGAGGCUUCCGUACUUGUAGGUUAUUUUCGAUGAUAGGACAUCUGAUUCAACGAUCGCUUCCAUAGAUAUGAUCUACGCUAUUAAAACUAUCAAGAAAACAAAUUUCAUAAUUUUUUGACUUCGUUUGCCUAGUGAACGAGUAGCUUCAAAAUGAACGGCUGAAAAUAAAAAUCUUAUCAAAAAUAGUGAUAAAGGACUUAAAUUUCAAAUCAGAAAUAUUGUUCUUACUCUUGAUAUUAAGUCAAAUUUUUUAUUAAAUUUCACGUUAUUUGAAUACUUUUACACUGUUGAACUUAAAAACAUGCCACAUCGGUAAUUUGAAUACUUCUACACCGUUGAACUUAAAAACAUGCCACAUCGGCGUUAAAAUAGUCAUUUUUGAGACCCUAUGAUCGCUUGGUAAAUGAUGUCGAAAAAUUAUGAAAUUUGAUUUCUAGAUAGCUCCAAUAACGUAGAUUAUACCUAACGGAGCCGAUCGUUAAAUCGGAUGUUUUAUCAUCGAAAAUAACUUAUAAGUACGGAAGCCUCCGUACUUUCAAAAAUACGGG